AUGAAGUUGGAAUCGCUAGUAAUCGCGGAUCAGCAUGCCGCGGUGAAUAUGUACCCGGGCCCUGUACACACCGCCCGUCACACCCUGGGAAUUGGUUUCGCCCGAAGCAUCGGACCAAUGAUCACCCAUGACUUCUGUGUACCACUAGUGCCACAAAGGCUUUUGGUGGUCUUAUUGGCGCAUACCACGGUGGGGUCUUCGACUGGGGUGAGGUCGUAA